AGGAUGAACGCUGGCGGAGUGCCUAACACAUGCAAGUCGAGCGGCAGCGGAAGUAGUUUACUACUUGCCGGCGAGCGGCGGACGGCUGAGUAACGCGUGGGAACGUGCCCCAAAGUGAGGAAUAACUGCCCGAAAGGGUAGCUAAUGCCGCAUAUGAUCUUCGGAUUAAAGGAUUUAUCCGCUUUGGGAGCGGCCCGCGUUAGAUUAGGUAGUUGGUGAGGUAAAGGCUCACCAAGCCGACGAUCUAUAGCUGGUCUGAGAGGAUGACCAGCCAGACUGGAACUGAGACACGGUCCAGACUCCUACGGGAGGCAGCAGUGGGGAAUAUUGGACAAUGGGCGAAAGCCUGAUCCAGCAAUGCCGCGUGAGUGAAGAAGGCCUUCGGGUUGUAAAGCUCUUUUACCCGGGAAGAUAAUGACUGUACCGGGAGAAUAAGCCCGGCUAACUCCGUGCCAGCAGCCGC
rnacentral:rRNA from 1 species